UACGUAGGGCGCAAGCGUUGUCCGGAAUUAUUGGGCGUAAAGAGCUCGUAGGCGGUUUGUCGCGUCUGCUGUGAAAACUCGAGGCUCAACCCCGGACUUGCAGUGGGUACGGGCAGACUAGAGUGUGGUAGGGGAGACUGGAAUUCCUGGUGUAGCGGUGAAAUGCGCAGAUAUCAGGAGGAACACCGAUGGCGAAGGCAGGUCUCUGGGCCACUACUGACGCUGAGAAGCGAAAGCAUGGGGAGCGAACAGG
rnacentral:rRNA from 1 species